rnacentral:rRNA from 1 species
GACGAACCGUGCAAACGUUAUUCGGAAUCACUGGGCUUAAAGCGUGCGUAGGCGGCUCAGAAAGUUGGGUGUGAAAUCCCUCGGCUCAACCGAGGAAUUGCGCCCAAAACUACUGAGCUUGAGGGAGUUAGAGGUGAGCGGAACUCACGGUGGAGCGGUGAAAUGCGUUGAUAUCGUGAGGAACACCGGAGGCGAAAGCGGCUCACUGGGGCUUCACUGACGCUGAGGCACGAAAGCUAGGGGAGCAAACGGG